rnacentral:rRNA from 1 species
CCUACGGGACGCAGCAGUGAGGAAUAUUGGUCAAUGGGCGGAAGCCUGAACCAGCCAAGUCGCGUGAGGGAAGAAGGCCCUGCGGGUCGCAGACCUCUUUGGACGGGGAGCAAGGCCGCCGACGUGUCGGCGGAAGGAGAGUACCCGUAGAACAAGCAUCAGCUAACUCCGUGCCAGCAGCCGCGGUAAUACGUAGGGGGCAAGCGUUAUCCGGAUUUACUGGGUGUAAAGGGAGCGUAGACGGCCAGACAAGUCUGAAGUGAAAAUCCAGCGCUUAACGUUGGAAGUGCUUUGGAAACUGCCGG